rnacentral:rRNA from 1 species
GACGAACGCUGGCGGCGUGCUUAACACAUGCAAGUCGAACGGUGAAGCGAGUUCGUGCGCUCGUGGAUCAGGGGCGAACGGGUGAGUAACACGUGAGUAACCUGCCCAUCACGCUGGAAUAAGCACUGGAAACGGUGUCUAAUACUGGAUACGACCAACCCUUGCAUGGGGUGGGGGUGCAAAGGUGUAUCGGUGAUGGAUGGACUCGCGUCCGCUCAGUUUGUUGGCGGGGUAAUGGCCAACCAGGGCGGGGACGGGUGGCCGGCCUGGGGGGGUGCCCGGCCCCACUGGGACUGAGAACGGGCCCGACCCCCACCGGGAGGCAGCGGUGGGGAAUAUUGCACAAUGGGCGAAGGCCUGAUGCAGAGACGCCGCGUGGGGGAUGACGGCCUUCGGGUGGUAACCCUCUUUCAGCGGGGAAGAAGCGAAAGUGACGGUACCUGCAGAAGAAGCACCGGCUAACUACGUG